GAUUGUGGUUAUGAAAUUGGGAGGGGUUCUUUGCUUGAAUAUGUUCUGUAUGUACCUUCCAAGAACCUUCCCUCCCAACGGACUAAUAGAAAGGAA